UACGUAGGGACCAAGCGUUGUUCGGAUUUACUGGGCGUAAAGGGCGCGUAGGCGGCGCGACAAGUCACUUGUGAAAUCUCUGAGCUUAACUCAGAACGGCCAAGUGAAACUGUUGUGCUAGAGUGCAGAAGGGGCAAUCGGAAUUCUUGGUGUAGCGGUGAAAUGCGUAGAUAUCAAGAGGAACACCUGAGGUGAAGACGGGUUGCUGGGCUGACACUGACGCUGAAGCGCGAAAGCCAGGGGAGCAAACGGG
rnacentral:rRNA from 1 species